rnacentral:lncRNA from 1 species
CAGGCGGUUCAGCUCCUGCUGCAGCCCCUUGACAAGUUCAUCUCUAUAAAGAGGACUUGUGUAAUACAUGAUAUCCAUGGCACUGCUGUUCAGCAUGUCCCUCAAACCCCGUACUUUGUCUGGAGUAAUGGAGUCCACGGUGUCUCCAUCGAGGGUAAGUUUUGACCUCCAUUCAACUGGAAGAAAUUCAACGUGUGUUGCAAGAUUGGAA